rnacentral:rRNA from 1 species
UACGUAGGGGGCUAGCGUUGUCCGGAAUCAUUGGGCGUAAAGCGCGUGUAGGCGGUCCGGUAAGUCCGCUGUGAAAGUCGGGGGCUCAACCCUCGAAUGCCGGUGGAUACUGUCGGGCUAGAGUGCGGAAGAGGCGAGUGGAAUUCCCGGUGUAGCGGUGAAAUGCGCAGAUAUCGGGAGGAACACCAAUGGCGAAGGCAGCUCGCUGGGACGGUACUGACGCUGAGACGCGAAAGCGUGGGGGAGCAAACAGG